CUACAUGAAGCUGGAAUCGCUAGUAAUCGCAGAUCAGAAUGCUGCGGUGAAUACGUUCCCGGGUCUUGUACACACCGCCCGUCACACCAUGGGAGUUGGAAAUGCCCGAAGCCAGUGACCCAACCGUAAGGAGGGAGCUGUCGAAGGUGGAGCCGAUGACUGGGGUGAAGUCGUAACAAGGUACC
rnacentral:rRNA from 1 species